rnacentral:rRNA from 1 species
AACGAACGCUGGCGGCAUGCCUAACACAUGCAAGUCGAACGAGACCUUCGGGUCUAGUGGCGCACGGGUGCGUAACGCGUGGGAACCUGCCCUUAGGUUCGGAAUAACUCCCCGAAAGGGGUGCUAAUACCGGAUAAUGUCUUCGGCCCAAAGAUUUAUCGCCUUUGGAUGGGCCCGCGUUGGAUUAGCUAGUUGGUAGGGUAAAAGCCUACCAAGGCGACGAUCCAUAGCUGGUCUGAGAGGAUGAUCAGCCACACUGGGACUGAGACACGGCCCAGACUCCUACGGGAGGCAGCAGUGGGGAAUAUUGGACAAGGGGCGAAAGCCUGAGCCAGCAAGGCCGCGUGAGUGAUGAAGGCCUUAGGGUUGUAAAGCUCUUUUACCCGGGAUGAUAAUGACAGUACCGGGAGAAUAAGCGCCGGCUAACUCCGUG